UAGGAAGAUCAAAAUGCAUGAAAUAAAAGUUCCUCACCUUCGGUGAACUUGUUUGGUGUCUGGAUGAAUGUUGACUUACUGUGAGUUCACCUGAUAGCUAUUGCAGCAGCAAGUAUGUGGUAAAUAUUCAGAUGCUUUACAGGUACAGUUGUUACUUAUGGUGCAGGUGCAUUAAAAAUAGCAACUGCUGCAGAUGUGUGACUACUCACAGCAAAAUACAAACCAUUGGUUGAAGUUUUUUUUUCCUUGAACAGACUCAGAUAAAGAAGAGAAGAAAGUAAGCUUUUCAGUACUUAAAGUGGGCUUAUACGAAAGAUGGAGAGAGACUUUUUAUGACGGCAUGCAGUGAUAGAACAAGAUGUAAUGGUUUUUAACUGAAAGAGGGUAGAUUUGGGUUACUUCAGAGAAAGAAAUUCUUCAUUAUAAGGGGUGUGAGGCCCUGAAACAGGAUGCCCAAAGAAACUGUAGGUGCUCCAUCCCAGGAAGUGUUCAAGGCCAGGCUGGAUGGGACUUUGAGCAUCCUGAACUAGUGGGAUGUGUCCCUGUCCAUAGCAGAGGGGUAGAAGUAGUUGAACUUUAAGGUCCCUUUCAACCCAAGCCAUUCUGUGAUUCUAUGAUUCCAUAGGUACCUCUUGGUUCAGUAUGUAUUGACCAAAGACCCUAGUGCAGGGAGAUGGUGGAGAAGCAGCUCCUUCCUGAACAUGAUGAAUGACUCAUUUUUCCGCUCACUGCUGUUUCAUUCUUUUUUUUUAAUUUUUAUUUUUUUCUUUUCUUUUCUUUUCUGUUUGUUUGUUUGUCUGUUUUAGUUUUCAACCUGAGAUGGGGAAGCCCUAUAGCAACUGCUUCUCUCCUUCAAGAAGAGUAGAACGGAAGAGCUGGCAAGCAGAGACACUACCAGUGCUUUGUGGAAGCCGACAUAUGAAUUUGUUCUACAAAUGUGCCAGGGACACACUGAUCCAACAGUUAGAUCACUUCCAGAAGACACGGAGUUAGAUCUGUGAGCUCACUUCCAAUUCCUUCCAAUUACUGUCUAAUAAAAAAAAAAUUCUGAAUAAAGUAAACCA
rnacentral:lncRNA from 1 species